AGAGAGGUUAUCCUUUGUGUGUUUGCUUUACGCGAAAUGAAUAUGCAAGGGCAAGCUCUCUUC
rnacentral:pre_miRNA from 2 species